rnacentral:rRNA from 1 species
CAAAAGGUUAACUUUGGUUGGAAUUUUAUAAAUCUUUAUAAAGGGCGCUAAAUAAAAAUCUUGGUAAAAAAAGUAAGGACGUCGCGCGACGAAACGUUGUAAGAAGGCAUCGGCCUGUGAUCUACAAAUAUCCUGUUAAGAAAACUUUCGUUGUAUAGUAAAUAAAUAAUGUGAAUUGAAUCAUCUUAGUAACAUUAAAAAUAAAUCAAACGAGAUACCGUGAAUAGUGGCGAAUUAAAACGGUUUAGGCUUUUAUUAAUUAAAAUAAUCUUUGAAUUCAUUAAACUUUAAAAGGUAUUAGUCCUGUAAAAGAAAAAUUUUUAUUAACGUUAAGAAGUAACACGAACCCUAUUGUGAGAAAAUAGGAGGACCACCUUCUAAGCCAAAAAGACUUUUUUUAACCGAUAGUGAACGAGUACCGUGAGGGAAAGAUGAAAAAUACCGUAAGGGUUAGCUUUAUUUUAUACAAAAUAAGCUACUUUGAAAUUAAGUGUCUAAUUUAUUUUUGAAACUUCAAUGUAUUUGAAGCAACAAAGUGCCUUUUGCAUAAUGAGUAGCUUAAGCCGUUAGGUGUAGGCGCAGCGAAAGCGAGUCUGAAUAGGGCGCUAAGUUCGACGUAUGACGACCCGAAACUAGGUGAUCUAUCCAUGAGCAGGAUGAAGGUUGGGUAACACCAACUGGAGGUCCGAACCCGUGAAUGUUGAAAAAUUCUGGGAUGACUUGUGGAUAGGGGUGAAAGGCCAAUCAAACCUGGACAUAGCUGGUUCUCCGCGAAAUCUAUUUAGGUAGAGCGUCGGACGAAUUCCCUGGGGGGUAGAGCACUGGAUGGUUGCGGGCUGCGCGAGUGGUACCAAACUAACCAAACUCCGUUUAACUUCGAACUAUAAUUUAAUUUUAUUGGCAGACAGUCUUUGAGCGAUAAGGUCCAAAGACGAGAGGGAAACAACCCAGACCAUUUAUUAAGAUCUUUAAAUUAUAACUCAGUGGGAAAAAUUUUCAUCAAAUCAAAUAAAAUAUGGAUAGGCUUAGAAGCAGCUUUUCAUUGGAGAAAGCGUUUUAGCUCAUUAUUUCUUUGCUGAGAAUUUAAGAUAAACGAGGCUCCAAGUUAUAUAUCGAAAUAAUGGAUUAAAUCCAAAUUUAAUGGUAGUGAAACAUUCUGUAUAUUUAUUAUUAACGGUAAGUUAGUAAAAUGGAAAUCAGAAGUGCUAAUGCUGACAUGAGUAACGAAAACUACGUAUAAAAAUCGUAGUCACCUAUUGCUUAAGGUUUUCAACGUAAUUUCAAGAACGUUGAGUUAGUCGGUCCUUAAAAGGAGAGUUAAAGCUGUACUUGAUAGGAAUUUUUACCAGUUGCAUACAUAUCUUUAUAUGUGCAAAAGUUCUAGUUAUUUAUUAUAAUUUUUUAUAGGUUUAAAAUUAUAUUAAUAAAAAACUUCAAGAAAAAACUGCAACAUAAAUUGACCGUACCUAAACCAACACAGGUGAGCUAGUUGAAAAUACAAAGGUGGAUGAGUAAAUUAAGUUGAAGGAACUCGGCAAAUUUACUCUGUAAGUUCGCAAUAAAGAGUGUCGCAACCCGAUGACACAAAAUAGAAGGCAACGACUGGUUACCAAAACCACAGGACUCUGCUAAUUAUGAAAUAAGACGUAUAGAGUCUGACACCUGCCCGGUGCUUGAAGGUGAUCAAAUAUGAGUUAUUGCUUGUAUUUUAAUCCCAAGUAAACGGCGGUUCUAACUAUAAGAAUCCUAAGGUAGCGAAAUUCCUUGUCGGGUAAGUUCCGACCUGCACGAAUGGCGUAACGAUUGCCUUGCUGUCUCCAACUUAAUCUCAGUGAAAUUACAUAACCUAUGAAAAUGUAGGUAACCUGCAGUAAGACGGAAAGACCCUAGAUCCUUUACUUUAGUUUUAUAUUGAAAAAAUUGAUAUUUUAUAUAGAAUAAGUGGGAGUAUUAAAUAUACACAAGUUAAAUACCACUUUUAGUGUCAAGUUUUUCUAUAUUUAAAUUAAUACAUUUAAAAACAGUAUAAAAUGGGAAGUUUACUUGGGACGAGUACCUCCUAAAAUGUAACGGAGGUGUACAGAAGAUAAGUUACAGCUAUUUAAAACAAAUAGUAAAGCGUAUAAUGGCAAUAAACUUGUUUGACAGUUAGAUUGAUAAAUCGUACUGAGACGUAAGUCGGUCAUAGUGAUCCGGUGAAAGUAAGUGGAAGUAUCACCGCUCAACAGUUAAAAGGAACUCUAGGGAUAACAGAUUCAUCAUGGCUGAGAGUUCUUAUCGACGGCAUGGUUUGGCACCUCGAUGUCGGCUCAUCACAUCCUGGGGCUGGAGUAGGUCCCAAGGGUCUGGCUGUUCGCCAGUUAAAGAGGUACGUGAGCUGGGUUCAGAACGUCGUGAGACAGUUCGGUCCCUAUCUGCUGUAGGUUCGAAAAGAGAAAGAGUUAUUUUUAGUACGAGAGGACCAAAAUAUAUUAACCACUUGUGUACUGAUUGUUAUUACCGAUAGCAACGUCAGGUAGCUACGUUAGUUGUGUUUAUGUACUGAAAGAAUCAAUAGUACGAAAACAUUCUUAUUUCUUUUCAGGAAUAAUCUAAAAGAUUAUUAGAUAGAUCGGUUUAGUAUAAAUAUUUAGUAAUAAAAUAUUAUUUAUAAAUACGAAUUAUUCAUUAAAGAUUUAUAAAACCCA